rnacentral:rRNA from 2 species
UGGGGAAUCUUAGACAAUGGGGGAAACCCUGAUCUAGCCAUGCCGCGUGAUCGAUGAAGGCCUUAGGGUUGUAAAGAUCUUUCAGCUGGGAAGAUAAUGACGGUACCAGCAGAAGAAGCCCCGGCUAACUCCGUGCCAGCAGCCGCGGUAAUACGGAGGGGGCUAGCGUUAUUCGGAUUUACUGGGCGUAAAGCGCACGUAGGCGGAUUGGAAAGUUGGAGGUGAAAUCCCAGGGCUCAACCUUGGAACUGCCUUCAAAACUCCCAGUCUUGAGUUCGAGAGAGGUGAGUGGAAUUCCGAGUGUAGAGGUGAAAUUCGUAGAUAUUCGGAGGAACACCAGUGGCGAAGGCGGCUCACUGGCUCGAUACUGACGCUGAGGUGCGAAAGCGUGGGGAGCAAACAGG